rnacentral:rRNA from 1 species
CCUACGGGUGGCAGCAGUAGGGAAUCUUCCACAAUGGGCGAAAGCCUGAUGGAGCAACGCCGCGUGGGUGAAGAAGGUCUUCGGAUCGUAAAACCCUGUUGUUAGAGAAGAAAGUGCGUGAGAGUAACUGUUCACGUUUCGACGGUAUCUAACCAGAAAGCCACGGCUAAUUACGUGCCAGCAGCCGCGGUAAUACGGAGGAUGCGGGGGUUAUCUGAUUUUAUUGGGUUUAAAGGGGGCGUAGGGGGACUGUAAAGUCAGCGGUAAAAGCGCGGGGCUCAACCCCGGCGAGCAGUUGAAACUGGCUGUCUUGAGAUGAGGUGAGGUAUGCGGAAUGCGCGGUGUAGCGGUGAAAUGCUUAGAUAUUGCGCAGAACUCCGAUUGCGAAGGCAGCAUACCAACGGCGAUCUGACGCUGAGGCACGAAAGCGUGGGUAUCGAACAGGAUUAGAUACCCUAGUAGUC